UUCUUCCCGUGGUAUGAAAACCACGACAGUCGCCCUCUGCUCAAAAAGAAAAAAAAAAACUCUCUCAAAACGGAGGCCGAUCUCUUCGUCUCUCUUGUCCUCCCUCUCUCUCUGUCAUCACAAAUCCCAUCUUCCGCCAAUACUUCUGUCUAAGCUCUUCCUUAUCAGCAAACCAGAUUGGGGAAAUCUUUUGGGGGUAUCGUUCAGAUCUAGAUCCCUCACCUGCAAAAGAGUCAAUUGGGUCGCAUAUCGUAAACGACGUCGGUGAGUCCGUUUCCGGGGAGCUCUAGCUGGCUGGAGACCAGAGCUAAGAUGGGUUUCAGUUUAGGAUUCUUGGUCGGCAUCUUUGGAGUUCUAAUUCUCUCUCAUGCCGCUUAAUCAACUGUUCAGUAUAAGUUGAUGGAGAUCCAAAAUGGAGAUUUGGAUCAGAUUAUUCAUCUGGAAUUCAUGGAGAUCUGCACACCAUGAGGCUCGGUCUCAUGCAUUGCAUGGCCAUCCAACCGAUUUUCGAAGUGUACGUUGUUCAUCACGUACUAUCGGCUUCUUCCAUGUUGGGGUAUCCAAGAUCUUCUGGUAUCUGACCGCCCAUAUAUUCUGUUCAGAAACAUAUUUCAGUUCUAUGCAAGCAGUACAUGAUAUUUGCAAACUCUAGUAAUAACGGAAGCAGUGAGCAACCUCUUGGUAUUUUACCUCAUCAAAUCCAUGGUUCCCUAGGACACUUUUCACAGGACACUUGUGGGCCACUCCUCAGACAGUUUUGCACGAUUUGCUGCAGCAUUAAAUAGAGGACAUUGUAAUAUAACAAGAAGAGGAUAUGGGCCUCUGAAGAGUUAUUAUUGUAUGUGGACAUGGCAGCUCGGAGAGUCUCCUCCUUACUCUCUCGCUCUCUCCGCUAGGUCUGCUUCUAAGCUUCUCUCUCAAGGGAGAAGUGUCAGUAGAUUUAGCACUGCUGCAGUAAGUGAAGAGUUGAUCACCCCACCUGUUCAUUUGAAUUGGCAACCAGAUUAAACAAAAUUACAUACUUUCCAGAUAUGGGUUGUUUCUUUCCUUGAUGGACUUGUGGGUUUCAGAAAGAAAUUGUCUUUCCUUGGUGGACAUGUGUCAUAGAAUUGAAGGUGCAGGCAAAUGGUAUGGCAGCAUACUUUGUGACAUUGACUACAUAUCUUGGCCUUUGGUGUGGCAGAAUAUUACUUGCUUGACAUACUUUCUCCACCAAAUGGGGUGGAGAUCAUGUGCAGUGACCACGCUGGGUAGAGAUGGUAGUGAUUUGACAGCUACAACCAUUGGUAAAGCACGUUGGCAGGAACUUGACCAUGUUGUGGAAGAACUAGAGAAAAUUGUUGUUGUCAAUCUUCAGCACCGAUCAAUAAUAUCUCUCAUUGGAAAUGUGCAGAAAUCAUCACUAAUAUUAGAGAAGGUGUUGUACUGUGUUUGGCCAAGUACUUAGAAAGCAUUCCCUAUUUUCUUUUGUUCUCUGGUUGAUGACAAGUGUUGUUCAAUUGAUCAAACAGGGUUAUCAGCUAUAUAUGUAUUUGAAUCUGGUAUUCAUGUUUUGGUGCAUUUUAUAUAAAAUUUAUUA